GCUGCUGCUACGGUCGCAGGUUCGAAUCCUGCCUCGGGAUGUCCUUAGGUUAGUUAGCUUUAAGUAGUUCUUAGUUGUAGGGGACUGAUGACCUCAGAUGUUAAGUCCCAUAGUGCUUGGAGCCAUUUGAACCAUCUAAUAUCGUAUUUGAAGUUUCCCCUACUUCAGUAUUUGUCAUUCUUUCGAUUUUAGCCCGACACUAUGCUUUCGUGGCCAAAACCCUGUUUCACUUCUGUGAAGCAUAUACAGCACAUAUUUUCACAUUAUGAAAAUUAUUCAUUCCUUUUCUUUCAAUUUAUUCUUUUUUAAAUUAGAAAUUGCUAAUUUUUGACGGUCGUAUAUAUUUAAAUGUAGAUUAUUAGCUCGACACUAGCGGUGUUUGUAAUCAUCUUCAACUGACUUCCCGUUUAUCUGCUUUCAGCGCCAGGACGAACAACGACAAUUACGCACAAACCUCUGGAAUGAGAUUUGUAAAGUGUUGCAACCGAAGCCUUUAACUUGUCCAUGACUUGAAUCACGCUCCAGUGGCUAACACUAAGGAAUAGAAGACGAUGGCAGAGCACGGAUUCUGAUUGUCAGCCCACAUUAUAUUACUGUAUAAAAUAAAAUGUUAUUAUGAACAUA